UUGCAUUUAUGUUUGCAUGCAUCAUAUUUUCAUCUGUGCUGGAUGUGGUUGUCUCUCUGUUGGGGUGGGAGUUACAAGAGGUAAAAGGCCCAAUACCCAGGCUAUGAGUGAACUCUAGGAUACCUAGGAAUAGAGGGAUUCUUGGGAAGCGGGUGGUAUUGCGCCACUUAGCGGAACAUGAUAUCACGAGCAGUUUAGAUCCUGAUGGGGUAUUAUUGGUACAUACAUCGGGUGUGCACAUGAUGAUAUUCUAUGAAAGGGUUGUUUAUCCUGCGUUUCUC
rnacentral:lncRNA from 1 species